AGCCUCAGGGACUUCCUCUCUGUCCUGCUGCCUCAGCAUUUUCUUCCAGACCCUAUGGGAGGGUGUUGCCUGCCCUUGUUGAGGCCCCCCCUCCAUGCUCUUGCUCCUUGUUUCUCAGUCUCCCAGAAGAACAGCAGCACAAGAGCUGUUUAGAGCACGGAUACUGCCAUGCAGGUGGAAAGGGAGAAAGAGGGGGACUGGCUGCAGGGUCAUCUCAGAUAUGAGAUGACUACAUGAACCAUACAAGAUUGGUAUAUGAAGAAAGAGAAGGUCGAUGCUCAGUACACCAGGCCAAAAUGUUCAACCAAAGUAAACAGAAACCAGCAACUAAGCUGAUGUGGCAAGUGUGGGUGAUCUACAUAGCUUUGGCUGCACUCCUCCCUGAAGAACAAGCCCUGGGACAGGCCUGUCUUUCUUGCGAUGCCACUCAGUCUUGCAACUGCUCUUCCAUGGGUUUGGACUUCAUUCCCUCGGGGCUCACGGGCAAAAUCACGGCGUUAAACCUGGCCCACAACAGGAUAAAGCUGAUCCGGGCACAUGAUCUGCAGCAGGCUGUGAACCUGAGAGCCCUGCUGCUGCAGUCCAACCAAAUCAGCUCCAUAGACGAGGACUCGUUUGCCUCCCAGGGGAAACUGGAGCUGUUGGACUUGUCAAAUAACAGCCUGGCUCACUUGUCCCCGGUGUGGUUUGGGCCCCUUUUCUCGCUCCAGCACCUCCGCAUUCAAGGCAAUUCCUACGGCGACCUGGGAGAAAGUUCCCCCUUUUCCAGCCUGAGAAACUUGAACUCCCUCCACCUGGGCAACCCACACUUCUCCAUCAUCAGGCAAGGAAACUUUGAGGGCAUUCCGUUUCUCAACACGCUGAAGAUUGACGGUGGCAAUCUCAGUCAGUACGAACCUGGAAGUCUGAAAUCGAUUAGGAAGAUAAAUCACAUGAUCAUAAGCGUGCGAAGGAUUGAUGUAUUCUCAGCAGUCAUCAGGGACCUUCUGCACUCUGCCAUUUGGUUAGAAGUUAGAGAGAUCAAAUUAGAUAUUGAAAAUGAAAAACUGAUUCAGAACUCUACUCUUCCUUUGACUAUACAAAAACUCACAUUUACUGGUGCUUCAUUCACAGAUCAAUACAUUAGCCGAAUAGCAGUGUUAUUGAAGGAAAUCACAUCUUUGAGAGAGUUAGAAGCAAUAGAUUGUGUGCUUGAGGGGAAAGGAGAAUGGGAUACAAAAGAAAUUGCAAGUAGUGGGCAAAGUUCUGUUGAAACAGUAUCAGUAACAAAUAUGACUAUUCUGGAUUUUUAUUUGUUCUUUGAUCUGGAAGGUAUAGAGACACAAGUAGAUAAGCUGAAAAGACUCAGCAUUGCAAGUUCUAAAGUAUUCAUGGUGCCAUGCAGACUGGCAAGAUAUUUUUCAUCACUUUUGUAUCUUGAUUUCCAUGAUAAUUUGCUUGUAAAUAAUCGCUUAGUUGAGACAAUCUGUAAAGGUUCAUGGCCUUCAUUACAAACUCUAAAUCUAAGUAAAAAUUCUCUGAAAUCACUAGAACAGGCUGCAAAACAUAUAAGUAAUCUACACAAACUGAUUAAUCUUGAUAUUAGCGAAAACAAUUUUGGUGAGAUUCCAGAUGUGUGUGAAUGGCCUGCAAACCUGAAAUACCUGAAUCUCUCCAGCACUCAAAUUCCCAAAUUAACACGUUGCAUUCCCACAACUCUUGAAGUGCUGGACGUUAGUGCUAACAACCUGCAGGAUUUUGGUCUGCAACUGCCAAAUCUGAAGGAGCUGUACCUGACAGAAAACCAUCUGAAGACCUUGCCCGAAGCUGCAGGCAUUCCUAACUUAGUGGCCAUGUCGAUCAGCAGAAACAAGCUCAACAGCUUCUCCAAGGAAGAGUUUGAGUCCUUCAAGCAAAUGGAGCUGCUGGAUGCCAGCGCCAACAACUUCAUUUGCUCGUGCGAAUUCCUCUCCUUCCUUCAGCGUGAGGCAGGGAUAACCCAGGCGCUUGUGGGGUGGCCAGAAAGCUACAUCUGCGACUCUCCGCUGGCGGUGCGAGGGGCACAGGUUGGGAGCGUGAGGCUGUCGCUGAUGGAGUGCCACCGGUCCUUCCUGGUGUCUUUGAUCUGCAUUCUGACGUUCCUGUUCAUCCUGAUCCUGGUGGUCAUUGGGUACAAGUACCAUGCGGUCUGGUACAUGAGAAUGACCUGGGCAUGGCUCCAAGCCAAGCGGAAGCCCAAGCGAGCCCCCGCGAAAGACGUCUGCUACGACGCCUUUGUCUCCUACAGUGAGAACGACUCCAACUGGGUGGAAAACAUCAUGGUGCAGCAGCUGGAGCAGGCGUGUCCACCCUUUAGGCUGUGCCUCCAUAAGCGGGACUUUGUGCCCGGGAAGUGGAUUGUGGACAACAUCAUCGACUCCAUUGAGAAGAGCCACAAGACCCUCUUUGUGCUGUCGGAGCACUUUGUGCAGAGCGAGUGGUGCAAGUACGAGCUGGAUUUCUCGCACUUUCGCCUCUUUGACGAGAACAACGACGCGGCGAUCCUCCUCCUGCUGGAGCCCAUUCAGAGCCAGGCGAUCCCCAAGAGGUUCUGCAAGCUGCGCAAGAUAAUGAACACCAAGACCUACCUGGAGUGGCCUCCUGAUGAAGAGCAACAGCAGAUGUUUUGGGAGAACUUGAAAGCAGCUCUCAAAGCCUAGAUAGGAUCAUUAAAAACUGAGUCCCUAGCCAUCCUCUUCUGGAUUUAUUUCCAUUGCCUUUUUGUGCCUUUAUCUAGCUGUAUCUAACAGAGGUCUGAGCUACUGUAAUUGCUGUUACUUGCUUUGAAAUUGUACUAUUCUUGUCUCUGUGAUCAUGACAUUUCUAAGCAUUUUAAUCAGCAGUCUUACCUAAAGCAGUUUUGUUUAAAGAUUUGCUGUUGAAAAGUUUUUUAGAUACACAACUGUCUAUUUUAUAUAGCUUUAUCUUUGCAAAAGCUUUACAUGAGAGCCUGCUUAGCCUAGGUUUAACCACUUCAAUUGCAUCCUAAUGUAAGACAGUUUAUGCAGCAAGGAUUUUCCUCCUAGCUCCAUACUGAGUAGAUCUAAGGACUGAUUCUCAAUAGUAUUUCAUGAUCGUGGUAAGUUAAAUGUCAAAAUCUUCUAAAAAUCAUAGCUGCAAACUUUAAUCUACAUACGUGCUUUCACACUGUGAUGCUUGUUCUUUCUUAGUGAAGAGAUGCUUCAGAGGAGGAUCCAUACACUUUUUUGACUUGCUUAAGUGUAGUUGUUGAAGUGCUCACCUGAAGUGUGUCAACACAAUACCAAUGUAGUCUUUAAUUUCAAGACCAUACUCUUCUCUCCAAUCCACCAGCCCAAAGUGGGUGUUCCUCACCUUUUUUCUCUGCAACUUAGUCCGCAAAACCAGAGCAGCUGAAGACUUUCCCACCUCAAGCACUGUUGGAUGGGCUCAUGUUAUCUUAGGAAGAUGGCUGGGACAAGGAUUGUAACUGCUGAAGAAGUGGAGUAAACAGAGACACCACCACCAAGCUCUUCCUUCAGAUGUCAUCCGAAAAUGAAGGGGAGUCUCAGGUGGCGCCUGUCCUGGAGAUGCAGAGAGUUUCAGCCGACCCUUAACAGCUUGAAUCUGGUCAGCCUAAUAACUAACUGUCUACUUGAUCAGGUCAGUGUUUAGGCAUAAUGUUCUUGGGACUGACAUUUGCAGGUAUGCACAGAAGCAAAUCUUGAAAGGCUUCCCAUGGAAAUGUUUACAGUACUUAUUACUUUAUCUGGGGUUAGAUGAUAGAAUCAUGAACAGCUUGAGUUGGAAGGGAGCUUAAGGACCACUUAGUUCCAAAGCUCUGCCAUAGUGAGGAAUACCUUCCAGUAGGAAAGGCUGCUCACAGUCCUAUCCAACCUGGCAUCCACAGCUUCUCUGGGCAGCCUGUGCCAAUGCCUUGCUGUUCUCUGAGUAAAGAAUUCCUUCCUAACACUUAAUCUAAUUCUACCCUAACUUGAAAGCAGCCUUGAAAUCGUAGGACAAGUUAGUUGUUCCUGUUUCAGUAUAUUUCCAGAGUGUAUGUUCAUGUAUAUUUACAGAUAUAUGAGAUUAUGUAUAUAUGCUCUUGUAUAUGUAUGUUGCAUAUAUAUAUUCUAUAUUUUUAUUAUGAGUUUCACUUUUUUAGUGAGUCUUGUGGCAACCUGAAUUUGUCUGAAGGGUAAAGUUAUAUGUGACUUUGUCUAAGUUUGUGUUGUUGGAGCAUGAGCACAGAGGAAUGUAUGUGAAUGUUUCAGUGUAUUUCCAACAAUGGUCAAUGCUUUUUCUUUCUAAGACGUUUAACUUUGUAUGCCUAAUGAGAACUGGCUUUCCUGUGGAUAGAUAAAUGUAUUACGUUACUAAAUGAAAAAGAGCAACAUCAGGCUUUUUUUUUUUUUUUUUAAUUUGAUGUUCUUGUCUUCCAAAAUCCUUGUCAGUAGCAGUUAUAUUUGGGAGUCAUGCUGGACUUUGGAUACUUUUCUAAAUAAAUUUGCUGGUCUUCUUAGUGCUUUUCUAUACUCUUUCCUGCUGUCGUCAUAUCACUGAUUAAUUCCUAACAAUUCCAUUGUAAUUGUGAAUCAAUAAUAAAAGCCAAAGGCUUCAAUACUUCCACGUCAGUUCUUCUCCUUUCAUUUUCUUUUUCUGUGCCAUUUAACAUAGAAGGCAAUUAAAAUUACCUUAUGUACAAAAAGUGAGAUUUUACAUUGAAAUAUGCCUCUGAAGCCUUACCAGUGUUGUGCAACACAGAACAGGUCUGGAUAAUCAGGUUCUGUCACAAGUCUGGAUAAUUAUUCUGGAGUCCGUACCCCCACGUACAGAGUGGGCUUUGCACGAUACUUAUAAGGAAGCAUCCUGGCACCUUGGACAAUGACUGUGGUGAAAUCCAGGGGUAUUAAAUCAAUGUUUGUUUUACUUUCUCGGGCUUCUUUCUCCCUGUAAAGGCUUGCUUCUCCCUUUGUGGCUACUGUGCUUUCUUCUGCCUGAGAAGAGAAGUAGCUGACUGUGGGCCAUAAGCAGGCGUUUCUAAUGAGUGGGCUAGAUGGCGUUGCAGGCAAUUGGUUUGUGAUGGAAUGUCAAAGUAUGGGUGUAUGGGCUGAGUGUAUUUGGAAAAUAAGGAAAUCUGCUUGUACACGUGUGUCUCUGUGGGCGUAUUUGUAUGUACUCACAUAUACUUGUGUGUGUAUACUUACGUACCCAUGCUUCUGUGUGUAUGUUAUUCAUACGUGUAUGAAUAUGCACACACACGAGAUUACAUUUUCUGAGGGUGUAGCAUGGUGCAUACCCUGCUUUCAGUUCUAGUUUCCUGGUGUAAUGACUUCUGUAGGGUUGGUCCAAAGUCUGCUUUUUUCAGUUCACUCUGUUGGAUCAAAAUAGCACAAGGGCCAGUCAGAUCUGAACUUUUGGCAAGUGACUAGUGAAUCAUGUGGUAGCAAACACUGAGCAUAGAUAAAAGUGACUGGGAGGCUGAGUGCCUAGAGAUAAGGAGGGAAAUAGGUGGAAUUGACUUUGUGAUGUGCUCUUACCACAAGCCCACAUUUCAUGGACUCACUCAUUUAAAGAAGAUGAACAACAUUACUGAUUUUGUGUCAAUCAGAUUCUCCACAUAGGAAUUAUCCCACAUACAUAGCUGAAUCUGAAAACUGAAGUGGUAAGGAAACAGCCACAUGAGAGGAAGCUGGGUGAAGAGCAGUCAUCAAGAGAGAGAAGAAACAUAAAGCAGGAUAAGCAGCAUGCAAGCACUCGAGAUGGAGCACCAGGGAAUGGUUUCUGCACAGAGCACUGUGUUAUCCAGCCAGCUUCACAUAAUCAAAGAAGCCCCAUAAAAAAGCCUCAUCUGGACAGCAGGUACAUUCAGUGAAAGGAGAGGAUGAGAUCAUAAACAUGAGAGGGAAGUAGUUCCAGCUCUCCUGCUGUAUCUACUGGUUGAGACAUUUUUUUCAGGCUUGAUUUAAAGAUGCAUCUGCUAUGUCUUUGUUGUUUAACUCUGAAUGCCCCCAGAAGCAAGCAAAAUACAAGAAGAGGAAGCUUCUUCAGGUGCAGACCUAAGUACAUGCAAACUUCGGUCACUCAAGGUCCUGCAGGGAUGCCGCCCACUCCCCUCCAUCAGGACACUCACAGAGUCCACAAAAGGCCGUGAACAGAACCGAAACAUUAACUCGUUAAUUCCCAGCGGUCCACGUGAUGUUCUGAUGUGGAAUAGUGACAACGAAAAAUCGCUAAACCACAAUACACCGUUCUGAUUGCUGUGGUCUGGUGAUGAGGACAUAAAACUUGGAGUAGAAAGACACGCUUCUUUUCAUGACUGCAGAGGAACCUGCUGGGUGGCUUCUGGGCGAGUUACUUUACCUCACUGUGCCUCAUUUUCCUGAUCUACAAAACAGGGACAUUAGUGUCUGUUUUUUGAAGGCAGUCUGAGAAACUUAAAUGGAAACUUCUGUAUAAAUGUCAAGUAUGAUUAUUGUUCUUAAACUAAUCCAUUGUAGUCGACUGCUUUCAUAGUUUUUAUGAAAGCAAAUACAAUGGAGCUACACAGUUGGCUGCCUAACAAUGUUUUUUUUUUAAUUAGAGGAAGACAAAAAGUGUCUAAAAAAUGCAACAGCAAGUUGUGUUUUUUCAUUAGUUGGAAACAAAUUCCUGCCAUAACUGAAUCAUGCUGUACCAGGUAAUGAAUUUAUUCCACACUAAAUGCAAAACACUGAUCAGGAGUAGCAAGUCCUGAUCACUUUUUACAUGUUGGUUUCACUCUUUGCAUGACACAAAGAUUUUCAGUUGUUUAGUGAAUAAGACUAAGGAUAAAAAUGUGAAAAAUGUGUGUGUUUACUUCUUUACCAGCAUCUGCCAAAUGAAGUUUCCUCAGGCUGUGACUCUGAAAUUCUGAUUUUUGGUUGAAGAGUUUUCAAUGUCUGGCUUAUACACCUUUGGAAAUGGGUUGUAUAACAUCAACCCUGAUGUUCUCUUUCCUCAGUGUGGAGAAUGGUACCCAUCUUUUUCCACAAUGCUGUUAGAACAGCUCAACUCAGAAAGUGUGACUCCUAUUACUCUUCAUGUUUGCCCAAGCCCUGUAUAUGUGAAAGGUAAUUCCACCUCUACCAGCUCACUCUGAGGCUGGAUGGUCCCAGUGAGUCCAUCCACGGACAUAUGCAGAAGGCUUUAUCAGUAAGGACAGAAUGCUGCUAAUCCUGGACACCAGUUACACGACCGGAUUCAAAUGUUGGCAGAUCUGGCUUAUUCUUGUUCUCCUCCAUGGUUUUGCUGGUGUAACAGUGUUUAUUUUGUGGUGGAAGGAGAUUUUUUUUUUUUUUUUUUUAAAGACAGAGUGAUGUCAUGGUUUCUUUUCGUACAUCCACGCCACUGAAGUAAAGAUCUCUUGUGUAGUCUUGCCCUCGGUAUGACCCCAGAGUGAAUAACUUGUGACCUGUCUGUCUUCAUCAGCAUCACUACUGCUACCUUCUAGGAUAGCCCAAUUAAGAUAAUUUUAUGGUUGCUCUCUUAGAAGAGGACUUAGUGUCGGUUAGGCAGGCUGUGUGGAGCAGUCCUUGUUGUUGGUUUUGGUCCCCAGAGCCUGCAUUGCAACUGCUGCCUCUUCAAAGCACUUUCCUUCACCAAGCAGCACAAUCCCAUUUUUCUGCAGGCUUGUCUCCACCCGCCGGCCCUUUUUCUGUGAGCUAGUUCCUUCUAAUAUAUCCAAGACCCAUUUAGUGACAGGUGUUAGGUGAUGUGCUGAGGGAGAUGGGUAGAGUUAUGUGACAUCUGGAUGAUGAUGGACACGGUACUGAUAUGAAAGUAAUUACUCCCAAGUGUGAGAAGAUUCAAAUCUGUUCUGGGAAGCUAUGUCCAUUCAGAAGAAAAUUUUUAAAGCAAAGUAUUGGACUUUAAAUUGAUACUGUUUCACAAAAUGUGAAAAACCAGUUUGGAAUUUUUUUCUUUUUUUUCUUUUCUUUUUUUUUUAAUUGUUAUUGCUAUAUUUCUGAGGAUGCUUAUGAGGACUGAUCUUGUCUUACUUGCUCAAAGUCCUACCAUUGUUUGUAUGGGAUAUAGUAAACGCAUGAAGAUUCGGGAAGAGGGCAGAUAAGAAUUUUUCUGAAACAAACUAAAUUUUGAUUUUUUCUUUCAAUCCUGAUAGUGAAAAAUCACACCAAAUACAUGAAAUGAUUAUGAUUAUUUACUUCUAAAAAAAAUCUGGGGUUGGAUUUGCAUUCUCUCAGUGAAUGGCUAACAUAUAGCAUUGUCCUUGUAAGUACUGGGUUUGUCAUCCUCUUAAUGAGGGUGAAAGGAACUUUAUAUGCAUGGCAGCAGUGGCAGGUAAGAUUAUUUUUCACAGAACCACAUAGUCCACUUUGGUUGGAAGUGACAUUAAAGAUCCUCUAGUUCUAGCUCCCUGCCAUGGGUAUCUUUCUCUAGAAGAUGCUCAGAGGCCCAUCCAGGAUAAGUAUAAUAAAACUCUAGCAGGUAAUGCUCUUCCAUAGGAAAUAUUUGCAGGAACAAUGCUGAAAGACAUUGCUCUAGUUACACUAUUAGGGUAGUGCAAACGGUUUAUUUUCUAAAUAGGAAUACUGAAAGUGCACACAAAACAUACUUUAUUCUACCAUUUAAAUUAUUCUGAACUGUUAGUAACAAAUCAGGUUUUUGUCUACUCUUGGACAAGUGUAAGAAAUGGAUAAAUGGGUAUGAUUUUUAAGCAAGUGAUUUCAUUGCUAUUCCACAUCAGCAGAGUCUUCUGAGAUGGGAUGAAACUGUAGGCAGUCAAAGAAACCACAGAGAAGUUUUCAUCUUGAAGAGCUCAACAGAAAUCUAUUAAAAUGAGGUAAGUGUACCCCAACCUUCACGUUACAUGGGUUGGUCUUUGGGGAAAUGAGGUACUGCGUGGUUUUCUUAAUUGCAGCCAGCAUCAGCAGUUUCACUGUUGGUGACUGUUGGUCAUUUGGGGUAGAAGGGUGAAUCUUGUUUUGCCAUGACAAGGCGCAGUUGGACACCUUUUUCCCAAAACAGAUUAAAGUGAAUUUGUCCAAGAACAAAUCAAGACAAUAGGAAAACUAUGAUGUAAAGUUUAUAUACAAGAAUAUAACAUUUAUCUGGAGUAUUUACAAGGUUAAUUAAAGCAAUAUUUUACAACUCUCUCAGGUUAACCACUAGGUAUGUUACAGUUAGGCUACAGAUGGUUUAAUUUGCAAAAUAAGAAGAAAAACGUUGCAUUCAGAUAAAUCAGUUCCAAAACCUUUAUGUUUUUUGGUUUUUUUUCUCCUAAGAAAAGGGCUCAGUCUUGUGGAAAACAAAACUUGAGAAUGGCUAAUAUACCCUUAUUGGUGCCUAUGUAUCACAUGCAAGAGUUGUAACAUGACCUUUAUAAAUUUAAUAUAGAUGGCAAGCCAUUUCACCUCAGUGAAAGAGUCGUACCCCUUGUGACGGGCCAGGCACACACAUCUGUCUUCCCGUCUCCUACUUUUGCACAACAAACACGCAUGUAUACAGAGAGGCAGCAAUUAAAUGAACCAGCAUUACCAAAACGAAGAGGGAAAAGCCUCAGGGAAGAGUCACAUUUGCAACCAUUUAGAACAAACAAACAAACAAAAAAAAAAAAACAACUGUUAAGUGAGAUAGUUUAAUACUUCCCCAAAAUAGUCAUGAUAUAUAUAUUUUUAUUACAUUUAACCUAUGUACAGAAACGGAGGGCUCUCCCCAUCUCGGAGAUUGGUUGCUGUGUCUCCUGGCCAGGGCAUCUCAAGGCGCAGAGAGGCUGAAGAAAGAAGGCUGGGGAGGUCUGGAGAGCUUGGGACAGAGGAGGCCGCUGGAAGCCAACACAGCCAAAGCCACUAACACUGCAGUUUGCGGAUGCUGCGGGAGAACCGCUUGAAAGCCCGCUGCCCUUUCUGCCACCGCUUCAGCGAGUUUAGAGACAAAAUGUGAUGCGGGACCAUGUCAAAGGCCUUGUACAAGUCCAGGUAGACAACAUCAGUUGCUUCAUAUGACAGCCAUGACUUUGCAGAUAUGAGGGAGAGCAGCUUGGCAACCACGUCAGCCAGUUCCUUCAGGACUCUGGGAUGCAUGUCAUCCAGCUCCAUAGACUUGUACACACUCAGCCUCAUAAGGUGGUCUCAGACUUGCUCUUCUCUUGCAGAAGGAGGUGCUCUGCUCCCCAACUCCCACCCAAAGCUUUAGGGUUGGAAGAGAACUGGGAAGCCUAAGAGAUAUUGAAGACUGAAGCAAAGAACUUGAGUACUUCAACUUUCUCCAUGUCUGCUGUAGUCAGUUCUUCUUUUUCAUUUACUGGAGACCACUAAACCACUGAAGAUUUGCUGUCCCAUGAAGGCUGCUCUUCAAAACUGAGGAGUAGCAGGAGUUCUAGAAUCUGAGAUACUUAUUUUCUUUCAAACUCCUUAAGUUUCUGGAGAAAAACUUCAGGGGACCAUCAACCCUGAACACUGAAGACCUUUUGAAAUAGCAGGGGAUCUUUCACUGACUUAGUUUCACUUCUAGCACCACUCCUUCUAUCAAAAAAUCAGAUAACUGUGUGCAGUAAUUAUCCCUUCCUCUACGUAAUAGCUGGGUGAUUUCUAACAAACUCACAAGCUGCUGUAAGUACAAUCAUGUUUCCCUGAGCUUCACUAUGGUUUUAUUGGCAAUUUGGAUUAAAAUCACAGUUCCCUCUGAACCAAGUGGGUUAUCCCAGUGUGCUAAUGCUUCAUAAAAAAAAAAAAAAAAACAAAAACAAAAAAAACAGAAA